UCGUCCACUCCCCAUAGCCUAACCUCAACCGCUUUCUUAAUUUUCAACUCUCAUUCACGUCGCAUCGUCGGGUACUAUUAAUUCAAGGUAGGUGAUCAUGGGCUUCAUGCUUCCAGAUUUCAUCGAAAUUCGAAGAUUACACGGGUCACUAGUUGUUAUAGAAGAUAUCUUUAAUUUUUGGUUAUUUUUUAUUUGUUUACUUAUAAAGAACUAUUGUUUAAUUAGGAUAUAUUGUGUUAAAUCAUCUUGGAUUUUCUUAUUGAUUCUUUCCCAAGUCGAAUUGUCAAGACAAGUAUGGUAGAAUUCCCAUUUCAUUGAGAAAUAAGAUUAAAACUUUCUUUCGAAA